rnacentral:rRNA from 1 species
UACGUAGGGUGCAAGCGUUGUCCGGAAUUAUUGGGCGUAAAGAGCUCGUAGGCGGUCUGUUGCGUCGGCUGUGAAAACCCGGGGCUCAACUCCGGGCCUGCAGCCGAUACGGGCAGACUAGAGUUCGGCAGGGGAGACUGGAAUUCCUGGUGUAGCGGUGAAAUGCGCAGAUAUCAGGAGGAACACCGGUGGCGAAGGCGGGUCUCUGGGCCGAUACUGACGCUGAGGUGCGAAGGCGUGGGGAGCAAACAGG